rnacentral:rRNA from 1 species
UGGGGUUGCUUUGUAAGCUGGAGCGCUCCCUUUCCUCCACGUACAAACCCAUACGUGUGCCACGAGGGUGGCCGGAGGCGAAGAGACCAAGCAAGCUGAUGACUGGCAUUGGCGUCAGGGAGCUGUCCUAUGCACUGAACAACAGCCCUCGGGGCACAAAACGGCUGCGCUGGUGUCUGUGCGUUGUUGAGCAGUUGUUGUGCACUUUUCCGCGGAGAAUGUGGGUGAAGCAUGCUGUCAUAGACCUGAAAGUGGCCCGUUGGGUUGUCUAUGUCUUACAAACCGUAACUAGGGUGUGCUUCAACCGCGCUCUGGCGCGAAUUGUCCGCUACGUCCGUGGCUGCGAUGAGAUGACGCGGUAGGGCCCGUGCUGGAUUGGCGCGUGGCUUAAGACUCGAUGAGCUCGUGUAGAGAGCCGCCAGCAAACUUUUUUUCACUAACAUUUUUUAAAGGUACCAUUGUGUGCUGAAUAUGAUGAAUUCUAGUCUUAUCGGUGGAUCACUCGGCUCGUAGAUCGAUGAAGAACGCAGCCAACUGCGAUAAGUAGUGUGAACUGCAGAAACCUUGAACACAGAACAUUCGAAUGCACAUUGCGCCAUUGGAGUGACAUCCUUUGGCACGCCUGGUUCAGGGUCGUAAUACAAAAACGCACAGCUAAUGCGUGUAUAUGUUGCGAGAUCAGUGUGCGGAACGAGCCCUGUUCUCGCAUAUAUGAAGCGGCUCCGGAGCAGUGGUUGGAGUGCUGGCAUGGACAUCCGUAUGCUUUCGUCCAUGUCUUACAAACCGUAACUAGGGUACGACAAUCACUCUCAUAAGGCAGCCGAAGGUAU